rnacentral:lncRNA from 1 species
UUGCUUUGUCUGCCGUAAUCACCUCAAAAGUAUCAACGUUGACAUCUCCAACUACACGUCCACCACCAACCCCGGGAGGGAACGGCAUUGGAUCACCCUUCCUUGAUGCAAAAUCUCGGUCUUCAAGAAUACAUAUAGUAGAAACAAAUAUUUUCUCAAAAAGUCAAUCCACAUAGUAGCUACCAGUUACCUAUUAUUCUCUUGCAAACCUACUAUUUAGUUAUUUAAAGCUUUUAAACAUUACCUAAUAGUUGAUACUAAAAGAUCAACAACUUGCUACAACAAAACUUUUUACAAGUACGUUUUGGCCAAUAGAGUAAUAAAAUAAAAUGCAUAAUUCUACUAUAAUUUAAAAAUAUAUAACUACAUGAGAAUUUACAUGCAUACAGUUUUAAUCUCCUAACCAGGAAAGUUCCUUCAAUUCCUUCUAUUAUCAAAAAAAAAAAAAAUUGCCCACACCUAUGAUCACCCCAAACAAUAAUUACAAUUUCCCAAAAUAUAGGUAGCACACGUCAAUGCUUUUCUUCACAUUUAAUGAAAAACUAAUGCUGCCUCUAUUCCCAGAGCCUUUUUCAUCAGAGAUACCAGGCAAUGCUUUGAAAUGAGUAACUAACAACUGGCAAGCAAACACUCUCCCUUCAGCUCAGCAGUUUUUUCAAUCAAAAGUACAUCAAUACAAAAGUAAUGAAACUGAAACCCAUUAUAAAUUAAGUAGUCUUACUUGAAUCCCCAAUGUCAAGGUCAGCCAAAUCAUUUCCAACUGAAGAUGAUGAGCCAUACAAACUCCUCCUUUCAGCUGCACGAUCCCGGUAGGUUGUCUGAGGUUGUUCCUUGUGAG